rnacentral:rRNA from 1 species
AGUUCGGAUCGGAGUCUGNAACCCGACUCCGUGAAGCUGGAUUCGCUAGUAAUCGCGCAUCAGCCAUGGCGCGGUGAAUACGUUCCCGGGCCCUUGUACACACCGCCCGUCAAGCCAUGGAAGCCGGGAGUGCCUGAAGUAUGCAACCGCAAGGAGCGUCCUAAGGUAAAACCGGUGACUGGGGCUAAGUCGUAACAAGGUACC